GAUGUUUUUAUCAGAGUUUUCCCCAUUUAUUCAUACGUCUGCUGUGGUUGAAAAACCAAAUGAGGCACACCAAAUUUCAGUUUUCUCUUUGUCGCUGAAGCCCCCUAACAAUUUUGAUGCCCAAAGAUGAUGGAUUUUAUGGAGCUGGCUGAUCUCACUGGGAGAAUCCGCGACCAGAAAGAAGAGGAAUAUCAGGAAGAAAUUUAAAGACUAUUUGAAUAAAUAUUGUAAUAUUAAAGGUUAGUAGUUACUUGAAGGUACUAAAUAGGCCUAGGACUAAAUUAGGACUAAAUAAAUAAAUGUGACAGAAAAUGUUAAGAAAAGUUAAGGAAUUUGAUUAUAAUCGGAAUAUUGUUUUUUGAAUAAUGAUAUUGGAAAACUGCUAUAUUCAGUUACAAGGAAAUUCAGAUGGAAGAGAUUAGAGAAAGUCAAGUAAUAUGUUUAUGAAGUUGGAAGUUUAAUUAAUGAAUUAACUUUUAUUGUCUAUGUGUUGGUGGUUAUCAUUUGCUAUAUCUGUUUUAUUUAUUUAUUUAUUAUUUUGUUUCAUUGAUUGUAUAGUAUGUGUUGUAUUUGUAUGAAAUUUAAUAAAUAUUAUUGGGGGGGAACAAUUUUGAUGCCCAGUCUAUGAGUGAUUGACGCUCGGUCUUUUGAUACACAGAAUAAUAAUUAAUACUUUGUUAUUCCAGGAAAUCUGUAAUGUUAAUUUUCAGUGUAGAUUUAUAAACUAGAGAUAUGAGUAGUAGUUUGAUGAGUCUGCGGGCUCUGGAAUGUUUUAAAAAGCCAGUUUCUGCUCUUGAAUAAUUCCCAAACUGCAACUAAGGCACAUUAAAAGUUCUGGAUAUUCAAGGGAAACCUUCUGCGGAUAACCAUGCCAUCCAUUCUUCCCUGAUAGCAACACUCAGCGAAAGUGGCAGAAUGCAAAAGACAUGGCUAAAGGAAGUGUUUGCUCAGACAUGCUGGGGAUUGCUAAUGGCAGCUGGGGUUGGCCAAAGAGAACAGAGCAAGCAUAAGGAAGAAAUUGCAUUUCUGUGUACAGUAACCUCUGACCGGUGAGAUAAAUCAUCACCAGUCAGAAGCUAUUCUGAGCUGGCAGAAGCAAGGUUGUGUUCCAGGUAGAGACUGAGAUGAUGAUGAGAUGGCGGGGUGUGUAUGUGUGUGUGCGUGUCUCGAGCAAAACCUUCAAGAAAACAGUGAGCCAAAUCAAAGGGAUUGUGUGUACAUUGUGAUUUUGUGGCAUUAACCUGGGGUAGAUGCUCACUCCAUGUCACAGUAAAGGAUGUUACUUAUUUAUCCUUUUGUAGGAUCAGGAAAAGCCUUGCAACCUACAAUUUGACCCGGGGGCAACAACACAGGAAUAGAAGGAAAGCAAAGACAAACAGGGAG